UGGGGUGUCGUCCAACGGCAGGACACACGGCUCUGGACCGUGGAAUCGGGGUUCGAAUCCCUGCACCCCAG
rnacentral:tRNA from 1 species